AUCGCAGACUGCUGGAUUUCUCCCGGAGGCCCCAGAUAAUCUUACACCGAAUAGAUUGCCUGCAGUGUAACAUUUAUUACCUGGAGAGGAGAUCCACUCUGGACCAGGAGGAGUUGGAACCUCUGCAGGUGAAACAAGAACAGCAAGAGCCAGAAGAUCAUCAGAUAAAAGAAGAGCAGGAGGAUCUAAAACACCAACAGAUAAAAUUGGAAGAGAAAGAAGUUUACUGCAGUCAGGGUGAAGAACAGAUUGAAUUAAAACAGGAGACUGAUACCUGCAUGGUGGUUCCUGUUGAUGAGCAAACAGACCACACUGAAUCAGAACCAAACAGGAACCAAGACAUCUUCCAGGAAGCUGCUGAAGCUGAGAACCAAAAUCAGGAAAGAAGAAAACCUUUCUCAAGUGUCAUCUGUGAAAAGCGUUUGACUUUCAAUUCUGUUUUUGAUGCUCAUAUGAGAACUCAUACGGGUGAGGAGCCGUUUACAUGUUGUACCUGUGGGAAACGUUUUAUUC